rnacentral:tRNA from 1 species
GGGAUUGUAGCUCAGUGAUAGAGCGCUUGCCUCGCAUGCAUGAGGUUCUGGGUUCAAUCCUCAGCACCA